rnacentral:rRNA from 1 species
GACGAACGCUGGCGGCGUGCUUAACACAUGCAAGUCGAACGGAAAGGCCCUGCUUUUGUGGGGUGCUCGAGUGGCGAACGGGUGAGUAACACGUGAGUAACCUGCCCUUGACUUUGGGAUAACUUCAGGAAACUGGGGCUAAUACCGGAUAGGAGCUCCUGCUGCAUGGUGGGGGUUGGAAAGUUUCGGCGGUUGGGUAUGGACUCGCGGCUUAUCAGCUUGUUGGUGGGGUAGUGGCUUACCAAGGCUUUGACGGGUAGCCGGCCUGAGAGGGUGACCGGCCACAUUGGGACUGAGAUACGGCCCAGACUCCUACGGGAGGCAGCAGUGGGGAAUAUUGCACAAUGGGCGGAAGCCGGAUGCAGCAACGCCGCGUGCGGGAUGACGGCCUUCGGGUGGUAAACCGCUUUCGCCUGUGACGAAGCGUGAGUGACGGUAAUGGGUAAAGAAGCACCGGCUAACUACGUG